rnacentral:lncRNA from 1 species
CCCAGGAGAGAAAAGGAGAAAGAAAAGGAGCCAUUACCUUGAAAAUCCCCCCAUUGGGGUUCCUGUAGCAAGGGAUGAUGGGGGCAUCCCUUGAACAUCUUCCCUAUUCUGCCUGGCAGGAAUAGGUGCCUGGUGUAUGGUCCCAGAGAAAGGGAGCCAUUACCUUGAAAAUCCCCCCAAUGGAGUUCCUGUAGCAAGGGAUGAUGGGGGCAUCCCUUGAACAUCUUCCCUAUUCUGCCUGACAGUAAUAGGUGCCUGGCGUAUGGUCCCCAGGAGAGAAAAGGACAAAGACAGUGAGAAAGAGAAAGACAGUGAGGAAUUUUCCGCCAGUCUGGGGGACAUUCUACCCAAUUGCAUCCUGGAGCCAUUCUCCCAAGAAGGGGUUCCCAUACUCCACCAAAGGUUAGAGUUUGGUACUUCCCUUGAACUGGAGUCCCGAGUGGGACUUUCCUCGCAGUUCAGAGCGUGGUCAGGUGCCAGAGGGAGGGAUCCCAAUCCAGCCUUAGGAAAAGAAACCUUCCACGGGAGUCUUGGAGAUUGGCGGCCGUCCUAAUGACUUAAGUGGCCGACCCGCGCCCACGUAAAAUUUGUCUAUUAGAGAUAGAGUCAGGAAGGAAUGGAUUAAUUCAUUCUCCAUCACCCUGAGGCUUAAGGUACUGAAUCUCUUCAAGCUGAAUGCCACAAUUUGCCCCAUAGAGUAGCCAUGGGCAGCAAACGUGGAUUCAUACAACCAUCCAAGAAAGUUCCCGAUGGAGCAGUGAAUCUAGAUCCAUCCUUGAAAAAGAGAAAGGCAUAAGGAAGAAAAGGGCACUUACCAGAACUCGAGCUCACAAGCCGAUGAAGCAAGUCCCCGUACGGGC